rnacentral:lncRNA from 1 species
UCUUUUCCAGAAUAAAUUCAUACAGGGGCCACGUGAAUGUCUUCCAUAGCGCCUAGAAGCAACUGGGAGCAUUCUGCUCUCUGUGUUCACUCAGGAGUGAUUUGCAAAUGAGAGGUACCUACAUUAUGCAGGACCAGGAGGAGUCAGCUGUGGGCCAUCUUUGUUAGCCUGAUUUAGAAACUUCUGAAGGAAACCACAAGUUCCAGCCUUGUUGGAUCUGGAUGUUGCAGUCUUGAUCUUGGAGCACCUGGCAGCUAAUUUACUUGAGGAGAGACAGUUCAUUUUCACUCGUUCUGAAUUUUGGUUUAAAACUGCAUUAGGCUGUGUAGCUUUUUACCCGAGUAUUCAUUGUAUGCCUUACUGAAGAAAUAAUGGGCAAAUGAGCUGUCGGAGACCAAAAGGGAUGAUUGUAAUUUUCAGUUUAUUAUGAGGAGAAAAUACAUCUGGCGUGAUCAAAGGCAAAAGCUUUGCCCUCCAGAGCAAAAGCAGCCCCUGUGACGAGCAGGCAUAUUGUGGCACACCUGGAGGUGAGCUGUGGGUCGGACGCCUGAGUCUGAUUUUUGAAAAUUUCCAUUUAGAGGAGGGGAGCGAAAAUGAGAGCAGAACCAAGGGAGGGGCAGGAGCUGGAAGGAAAUUGAGUAGUGAUUAAAACAGACCAAAGGAUUCCACCCCCAGCAGGAGCAGCUUUGCUGCUGGGUCUCUCAUGCUGCCACAAGUUUUCAAAACCAACGACAACCUUGUCUCACCACAGAAGGAAUAAAACAAACUUUAGCUCCUGCUCAGUCUCUCUCUUGGAACAUGAAUUUCCAGUGUCAGUCAGGCUGGUUUGUUUUGUUUUGUUUUAUUUUUUUUUUGACAGAAGCAAGAAGAUUUUUCCAGCAUGUGAUGGAAGAGAGGGGGAGUGAUGUAGAAUCAGCCUCCUUGUAAUCUGAGGCACUGGGAACUGUAUUUUUUAAGUAUGUUUGCCUCCCGAAAUGGGAGUCUGGGAGACGAGCAGAGCAGGAACACAUGGUUCUGUGAUACUCAGGCAGCUGGAACUAUGAAUACAGAACCUGUCCUGCAGCACACUGCACUCACCACAGGGCUGUUUGGGAAAUGCCAGGAAGAGCUUCGAUCUGUGGCUGGCAGCUGA